rnacentral:rRNA from 1 species
AACGAACGCUGGCGGCAUGCCUAACACAUGCAAGUCGAACGAGACCUUUGGGUCUAGUGGCGCACGGGUGCGUAACGCGUGGGAAUCUGCCCUUGGGUUCGGAAUAACAGUGAGAAAUUGCUGCUAAUACCGGAUGAUGUCUUCGGACCAAAGAUUUAUCGCCCAGGGAUGAGCCCGCGUAGGAUUAGCUAGUUGGUGGGGUAAUGGCCUACCAAGGCGACGAUCCUUAGCUGGUCUGAGAGGAUGAUCAGCCACACUGGGACUGAGACACGGCCCAGACUCCUACGGGAGGCAGCAGUGGGGAAUAUUGGACAAUGGGCGCAAGCCUGAACCAGCAAUGCCGCGUGAGUGAUGAAGGCCUUAGGGUUGUAAAGCUCUUUUACCAGGGAUGAUAAUGACAGUACCUGGAGAAUAAGCGCCGGCUAACUCCGUG